GAAAGGUUUUAGCUGAGCAGCUCCCUGUGCUAUCUGACCUGGGUGGAGAUGACCGGCUUCAGGCUUGAAAUCUGCUCCCAGCAUUGCAUACGAAGGAACCAAGGGCCCGUGCUGACCUCAGCGAACCCUUCCCGAACUGUCCCCUGCAGGUGCCGCUGCAGAACCCCGUAAGGCACGGUCUUUCCUUCCUGGAGCACACCCCCAACAGAAGACGGACAGGAGCCGCGGACACAGAACAAGCUGUGAAACGUGACGAGACCGCCCGUGUCUGAUGAGAAAGGCGACCCGUUGUUUGAAUGACUUACGCGUGCCAGCCGUCUCCGAUACAUUAUCUCCAAACCUCACAGCAAAUUUGCCAGGAGGCGUUAUUAUCAUACGGCUGCGUCACAGGUCAGGAAACUGAUGCUCAGAUAGGUUUGUGAACUCGUCCAAAGUCACACUGCUCGUCCGCGGUGGAAUUUAGCAUUUGAUUCCGAGUCUGGUUAGUUCCAAAGCCAGUCGUCUUCCCAGAAUGAUGUAUCGCUUUCUACAUAACUAAUGGAUCACACAAGUAAAAACCUUAAUAAUUCAUAAGUUGUAUGAUUCAGGAAUGCCAUUAGAGGCGAGGCGAUGCCAAAACCGUUUAGCGAGGCAGUAAAGCAUUCCAUCAGACUUGCGUCUGGACUGAUUUCAGUAAUUUAUGGCAUGGGAAGACUUGGCUAAAUGAAUUCACUAUUCCCAUCUUGUGCUUAUUAAUUGUUCUGACCAUCAUCCAGAGGCUCGUGGUGACGCGGUUCAGGCUUAACGGCGCGACCCGUGGGAGCCGUGGGGGAGGGAGGGACUAGACGCUUUGCUUCCGGCCUCUCUGAUGGAGGCGGGGAGACCAGGGCAGGCCCGGCCGGCGGCCGGGCGUGUCUACUGUGCAAGAGGAGAGGGGGCGGGUGGAAACAGCGCUGGAUUUCGAGUCCAAAUAUCUGGCUUCCCGCUCCAGCAGAACUUGACCAUGCUGGAACUCAGGCAGUCGCUUGCCAUCCCUGGGCUCCUGCUUCCUCUUGCCUAAAAUGGUCUUAGUACAUUCAACUUGCCUCCCUUUCCGCCUUGUAAUAACAAUGGUUAUUAGCGUGCGAGGGUAGUUACUGCCUAAUAACAAUGGUUACCCUUCACCGGCACGUAUGUUUACUUUCCUUUCGGCCGCAAGGGGUUGAUCCUAACAUUAGCCCCAUUAGAUCCUAUUAUUGCCCCGUGAGGCAACGAAGAACCCCAAAGGUGACCUAAUGUGCCGCACCCCAAGCCCGCCUGCCGGGGUAGGACCUGUGCUGGGUGGGAGCGGGGGCAGAGGACAGAUACUCUGAGUCCCAUCGCCUCCCUUGCCUCGGCAUCACCAAGGCAACAAGCUCUCCCUUGCCGUUGCCAGGGAAACCGGCUGAACUCUUGCUUUCUCGCACCUUCACCAUGGAGACAGCCAACUGGAAGGCCGCUCCUCGAGUGGGAGGGGGUGCCGCAGAGGCAGAGGCGAGAACAUGCCUCCAGACGCUCCUUGGUAGGUUUGAGAGGCAGCAUCCGGUAGGAGCCCAAGGCCUGGAAAUUCCCAUUCCGUUGAAGAAUGUGGAGACAUUCCCGGAGCCUACACCGCGGUACAAUGUCAAAGCCAAGGUGUCCCUGGGGAAACAUAGCCUGAACUCAUUCAUUUCACGGUGUGGCUUUUAGUUCUACAACAUUCUGCCGUGAUGCCUGGGUUGCUUGCCAUAACACAAGAUACCUUUAUGGCACCUAGGAAAUUCUAAGAAGCUCCGUGCCAGAAAUGGGGACAAAGACCGAGUGGAGUAAAACCUCGGAUGGCGAGGAACUUGUGUUCCGCAAGACGAGCAAACAUUUCUAAUAAAAUUUAAUUUGAUAAACGA